rnacentral:misc_RNA from 1 species
UUGGUUAAGCCAAGAAGCCGCGGCGCGCGUGUCGAACGCUCCGCUCCACCACUCAAUACAUAACAAACACUAGACUACUGCUGCUGCUGCUGCUUUCUGCUGCUGCUGCUGCUGUCUUCUACCUCCUGUUGUGUCAGCAGACCGCAGUCCUCACCUCUGCUCUCCUGCUUUCUUAACAUGCUAUCUGUAAGGCAAAUAUAAAGGAUGUGGGCUAGGUUUGGAGCCUACUCUACUAUUCUGAAGUAAACUCGGUAUUCAGAGCCACUGAACCUGUCCCCAUUAUGCAACCUCAAACACUUCAAGAAAUAUGUUUGGAUGAAGCAUGUUUGAUCCCAACAGAAUCCUACUCGAGGCUGCCAUGGACCUUAAAAGACCAACUAAUAAAGAAAUUAACCAGAAGAGGAAAAUGUAAUGAUUCCAUUUUUUCAUGGCUGCUUCAUUCUCGUGUGACUGAGCUUGAUCUACAUGAUUGCAUAAUAUCUGAUGCUGCACUAGACAGUCUUGAGGUGGCUAAGAGUUUGAAGGUUUUGCAUUUGCCUGAGCCUCCUGUUGUUGAUAAUAAUAAUUUUUCAGAAAACUCACUUAUUCGACUUGGGGAAGGAAAGCCAAAGCUAAGAGUAGUGGCUCUCAAUGGCCUUUCUGGAGUGACUGAUCGUGUCAUUGGAUCAUUGGUGGGAGGCUGUCCUCAGCUGCAGGAGUUACAUAUCUCAUCAACAACUAUCACAAACCAUGCUCUCACUGCUCUUGCAACUUUAACGCAACUAGUCAGCUUAAAUAUUGGUAAAACACAGAUUAGUGACUUGGGGAUUCAGCAGUUAGUCAGCGGAGGAGUUGGUCAUAGUCUGCGAGAACUGCGUAUUGAUGGGUGUGCACGUCUCACUGAUGAUAGUAUUGAAUCAAUUUGUCACUGUUGUACUCAUCUUAAUAUUCUGUGUUUCCAUCAUUGCCCAAGAUUAUCAGAUCGUUCCCGAGAACUAGUGGAUGAAUACAAGGCAUGGAGGAUGAAGCAACUUACAUGGACUGUGUACUGAUUUAUGUAAUGUUGACAAGUAAUGGAUUUAGUUAUAUCUAGCUGUUAAUCUUGCAAUCUAUCUAUUCUGUCAGUUAAGUUCAAUUUUCUUAAAUUUCUAUAAAUACAGUGAAGGUUUAUAACUACAGUAGUACAGUACUUCAUUAUUUUAUGACAUGGCUUCAGUGACUUAGGUCUGUGCUUGCUUACAAGCAGUUUAUUAUAAGCUUGUCACAAGAUAGCUGGCUUGUGACUCCUUCCUGAAUUGUCUGAAAUGUUAAUUUUCAUAAUAAUGAAUAGUGUCUGUAAUUUAAUAUAAUGUAUUUUAAACAAAAUACUUCAUAUGUAUUCUUUACAUAUAAUACAAUUAAAGUUUCCCAAAAACACAUUUUAUAACUACAGUAUUGGCAAAGUAUGUUACAGUACUAUUUAAAAUGAAUUUCUCAUUUAUAUACCUCAUUCUUAGUUAAAUAGGUGCUAAUUAUUAAUAAAUUAUAAUUUGCAAUAAUUAUAAUUAAAUUUGUAUUUCUAAAUGAUGUGGGUGGUUACUAUCAUGUUCAAGAUUUUAAGAACUAUCCAUAUCUGAAAGCAAUUAGAAAUUCAUAACUACCAAAGAAAAAUUACAUCUGAAUGUGUUAUAGUCCCCUUUAUCAGGUGUAAACUUUUUUAAGCUGAAAAGAAAGAAUGGAAACUACAGAAUCAUUUUCAGCAUGUGCAUGCUCAAUAGGUUUGCCAAAUUCAUUUCGUUCUUCCUGUAAAGAUUAUUGUAAAAUUUUCACUUGCAAUAGAUUUAAGAAAAAGAUGUACGAGCUCAAGAUCAGUUCUGGUGGUGUUAAAAUAAGAGAGCAGAAGCUACUGAAGGACAUGUAUCAGAAACAUGUAGGAUCUUUACUUACAUAUAACCUUCCUUAUUGCUGCCCUAUGAUCCAUCCCACAUUAUGCCUCCGGCAGCUCCGAGGGAGUGCUUUUCUUAGUCGAGUUCAAAUUGUUCCCCAUGCUCUCCUAUGUAAGUUCACAGCCUGGAAGAAGUACAAACUCUGGUGUAUAACAGACUUCUUCAUUUUAUUUAAGAAAGCCAUUGCUGUGACUCACUGGGUUCUGAAUGUGAGCUAUGUGGGCUAAGAGUUGGAGGUCUUAUUUCCAAUAUCAUUGUUAACAUAUGUAUCCCUGUAUCUAGAUGAAGAUUUGCAUGAUUGCAAGAUAAAAUUCAUUAGUGAUGUAGCACUUGUCCUUCAUUUUCAUAAUUCAAUUAUUGCUAACCAGGAGUUGUCAUGAAUGAGCACAGUUCUCAAUUCUUAGCCAUCAGCAUCAGUUCUUGCCUACGUCAUUAUUUCCUUCAACCCAUCCUCUCAAAGUGAUAGAAUAUAUCACUUAAUGCAUUAGUGGCAUGUACAAAAUUUGGAUUGUUGUACUCUGAAAAAGUUCAUUUUGUACUACAGUAUUGAAAUACUGAAGGGCAUACCAAAAAGUGGAACAGGGUAAGUAUAAACCUAGGUUUAAGUAGGCAAUUCUAGGUCUAUAAAACAUUCUUAUGCCUAAUUUAGUAC